AUCAUACGAAAUAUCAAUUGAUAUGGUGAAUAGAUGUGUUUUGUUCGGCUGUAGUGCCACGGCCGAUGCAUCGAGUGCUCUUUCGAAGCAUUCAUUCCCGAAAAAAACAGCAAUUCGACGUCAGUGGGUGAAGUUUGUACAAACAACGAGAGUGGACUUCGUGGAUCCGAAACCGACCAACACUUCGGCCGUAGUGUGUUCAAAACACUUCACUGACGAUUGUUUUGAAGUAGCAUGAUUAUUGUUUGCCCAGAACGAAAGUGGUUUUCAGAAGAAGCUAGUUAGCUGGACUCCACUUCAAUGAGAACAGUGGCAGGGACCAAGCCAAACUCGAGAAUGGGGCAGAACAAUUCAACGUUUUAUUCCCCAAAUUCAAGAAGGGAGGCUUUUCAGUGAAACGUGUUCUGACCAAGUGCACAUUCAACUAUGUGACUGAACUUCAGAAAGAGGUGUGCAGAAUCAUCCGAGCUGGAGAAAUCUGUCAGAAUGAAGAACCCCCACCCCCACUUUCCAGCGCCUUCGAACAUCUGGAUAAGCAGGAAGCCAUCAACAGAUACCGGAGUGGAAAACGCUACGUGGAGCAUGUGGGGAAAUAACUUGUGUUGGACUUCUAGAUUCCAGUGUAAACUGUAUGUGGUGGGAGCAUAUUUGGUUUGACGAUCAUCAAGUUGAAGCUAUCACAAAUUGCAUGCCCGGCCUUGGGCAUAGUCAUCAUUGAUUUUGUACAGGUCCUGUUUAACAAACAUAACAUCACCAGUAUUGGCAUUUUAUAUGAGCAAUGUAUUUAAAAUUUGAAACUUUAAAAUUUUGUACAGAUUAACAAAUACAUGCAA